GCUCCUACGGGAGGCAGCAGUGGGGAAUAUUGCACAAUGGGGGAAGCCCUGAUGCAGCGACGCCGCGUGAGUGAGGAAGUAUUUCGGUAUGUAAAGCUCUAUCAGCAGGGAAGAAAAUGACGGUACCUGACUAAGAAGCCCCGGCUAACUACGUGCCAGCAGCCGCGGUAAUACGUAGGGGGCAAGCGUUAUCCGGAAUUACUGGGUGUAAAGGGAGCGUAGACGGUGAUGCAAGUCUGGAGUGAAAGGCGGGGGCCCAACCCCCGGACUGCUCUGGAAACUGUGUAACUUGAGUGCAGGAGAGG
rnacentral:rRNA from 1 species